rnacentral:rRNA from 1 species
UUCCGUUUGAUCCUGGCGGAGGUUACUGCUAUCGAGGUUCGACUAAGCCAUGCGAGUCGAAUGUAGCAAUACAUGGCGUACUGCUCAGUAACACGUGGACAACCUACCCUUAGGUCGGGGAUAAACCCGGGAAACUGGGUAUAAUACCCGAUAGUCCUCGGAUGCUGGAAUGCACCGAGGUCUAAAGCUCCGGCGCCUAAGGAUGGGUCCGCGGCCUAUCAGGUAGUAGUGGGUGUAGCGUACCUACUAGCCUACGACGGGUACGGGUUGUGAGAGCAAGAGCCCGUAGAUGGAUUCUGAGACACGAAUCCAGGCCCUACGGGGUGCAGCAGGCGCGAAAACUUUACAAUGCCGGCAACGGCGAUAAGGGGACCUCGAGUGCCAGGUUACAAAUCGGGCUGUCGUGAUGCCUAAAAAGCAUUGCAUAGCAAGGGCCGGGCAAGACCGGUGCCAGCCGCCGCGGUAACACCGGCGGCUCGAGUGGUAACCGUUAUUAUUGGGUCUAAAGGGUCUGUAGCCGGCCGGAUAAGUCUCUUGGGAAAUCCAGCAGCUCAACUGUUGGGCUUUCAGGAGAUACUGUCUGGCUCGAGGCCGGGAGAGGUGAGAGGUACUUCAGGGGUAGGGGGAAAUCUUGUAAUUCGAAGGACCACCA